GACGGAGGGUGCUAGCGUUGUUCGGAAUCACUGGGCGUAAAGGGCGCGUAGGCGGCCUUGCAAGUCGGUUGGUGAAAGCCCGGGGCUCAACCCCGGAGGUGCGGCCGAGACUGCAGGCUGGAGGCCGGAAGAGGAGGGUGGAAUACCCAGUGUAGAGGUGAAAUUCGUAGAUAUUGGGUGGAACACCGGUGGCGAAAGCGGCUCUCUGGUCCGGACCUGACGCUGAGGCGCGAAAGCGUGGGAGCAAACAGG
rnacentral:rRNA from 1 species